UCUCAGCGUAGCCACCCUUUCCCCAAACCCUAACCUACAACUGCUUCAGAAAGAAAGAAAGAAAGACAGAAAGGGAAAUAGAGAAGAGGGGGAGGACCGGAGGGGAAAGAGAGGAAGCAAGAAGGGAGGCGGCACCGGUGGGCGUCACUGCCACCGACGCCGCCGUCGUGACGCCGCCAGGAGGUUGGAACCGAGGAGAGUGAUAGAGCAGCAACCAUGGAAGAGUGAGAAGAGGCGAGCACGAGCCAAGAUCCGCGAUGGAGAGCUAUCACUGUUGGGUUCUGUCGGCUCCAUCUUGCCUAUGCCGGUGAGCACGAAUUGAGAGAGAUAGAUCGGACAGAGAGAGAGAAGGCUCGCGAGGGAGUCACCGCAGAAGGAGUUCACUGCCGCGUCCCGUUGCCUGCGCCACCUCCAUUCAUCCUCCUUGCUGCCCGACGCCAUCGCCGUUCGCGAAGGAGAAAGGGAGCUUGCGUUACCAUCAGAUCUGCCGUUUCUCACCAUCUCUAUCGCUGUCGUUAGUGCCUUGCUGUUGCUGCUGCCGCCGGGAGCUGCGCCACCAUGACCGAACUUCGGUAGCCAAGAAAAGCCUCUGCCAUUACUGAGAUCCCUUAUCGCUAUCGUCGCCGGAGUUCUGGCCGCCUGAUAACCUCGCCGCCGUCGUCAGAAAAUCUUGCUGGCAAGGGUUUAAGUUGGUCUUCGUUUCCUUUGGGUUUCUGAAGGCUUCAUUGUUGUUGUAUGAUUAGUUUCAGUAUCGUCGCCAGAGAGCUGGUCGCCGCUGCCACUCAAGGUGGUUACCGGGGCUGGUGCCAAACCGGUUCGGAGACCGCCGUUAUUUCAGUUUAGCCAUUCCUUCUUCGUUCCGUAAGCAUUUCGAUUUGAAAGCUCUUUAGAUUAUUGUUUUGAUAAAUUAGGCUGAGGUGUUGUGGCGUUAUCAGUCGUAGGGUUGUGUAUCGAUGCUGCGUGACGUGCUCAGAGCUCGCGGCUGCUUCGUUUUGCCAUGUUGCUAUGGUUAUUGCGAAAGUGGCUUGGAGCUGAGAUUUUGAUUAUCAGUGAUUUCGGGUCGAGACGAAAGGAGUUGGUUAACGAGUUUGGGUUGUGAUUUCAACGUAUCGAGGUAGGGGCUUUUUGUACAAACUGAUAUAUUUCAAACUGGAAAUUGUUGUAAAUAGAUAUGUUGAGCGAAAUGUAUUUCUAGUGAUUA